rnacentral:rRNA from 1 species
UACGUAGGGUGCGAGCGUUAAUCGGAAUUACUGGGCGUAAAGCGUGCGCAGGCGGUUUUGUAAGCCAGAUGUGAAAUCCCCCGGGCUUAACCUGGGAACUGCGCUUGUAACUGGCAGGCUUGAGUGCGGCAGAGGGGGGGUGGAAUUCCACGUGUAGCAGUGAAAUGCGUAGAGAUGUGGAGGAACACCGAUGGCGAAGGCAGCCCCCUGGGUCGACACUGACGCCUGAGGAGCGAAAGCGUGGGGAGCGAACAGG